rnacentral:rRNA from 1 species
AUGCCACUAAAACUCUUGCUGCCUUCGUGCACCACCGUUGGCCCCUUUUAUCAUUGUCAAGACCGUUCAAAUCAAGGGAUGCCAAGUUCCACUACUGUUCACCCUGAACAUCUACGAUACGUGGACCUCUACGAUCGAGGAACCGUCAAGACCGUCAAGUACAACUACACUGCGUUGAUACGGGAACCACUACCAUCGCAAGAACCGAGAUCGGCAAGAGCACAUGCGCCCGAACGACUACCGCACCGGAUCGCCAAGUACCUCUACCGACGGCCCCGAACACCUACGGACGUGUAUGACUGCCAUCGCCCGAAGAACCAUGGUUCACAAGUGUCGUGA